UACGGGGGGUGCGAGCGUUGUCCGGAAUCACUGGGCAUAAAGGGCGCGUAGGUGGCCUGAUAAGGGUGUGGUGAAAGUCCGGGGCUCAACCCCGGAUCUGCCGUGCCGACUGUUAGGCUGGAGUACUGUAGGGGCAGGCGGAAUUCCGGGUGUAGCGGUGGAAUGCGUAGAGAUCCGGAGGAAGACCGGUGGCGAAGGCGGCCUGCUGGGCAGUUACUGACACUGAGGCGCGACAGCGUGGGGAGCAAACAGG
rnacentral:rRNA from 1 species